rnacentral:rRNA from 1 species
CAGCAGCCACGGUAAUACGUAGGGCGCAAGCGUUGUCCGGAAUUAUUGGGCGUAAAGAGCUCGUAGGCGGUCUGUCGCGUCUGUUGUGGAAUCCCCGGGCUCAACCUGGGAAUGGCAAUGGAUACUGGCAAGCUAGAGUGUGUCAGAGGAUGGUGGAAUUCCCGGUGUAGCGGUGAAAUGCGUAGAGAUCGGGGGGAACAUCAGUGGCGAAGGCGGCCAUCUGGGACAACACUGACGCUGAGGCACGAGAGCGUGGGGAGCAAACAGGAUUAGAUACCCCCGUAGUCCCUGUCUCUUAUAC